CCCUUAGAUGUUCUGGGCUGCACGCGUGCUACACUGAUAUUGCCAAUAUGUCAUUCUUAUCCGAAAUGGAUUGGGUAAUCAAGUAAUGAAAUUUCAUGCUUGGAAUCGGUAAUUGCAAUUUUAUCGUGAACGAGGAAUUCCUAGUAAGCACUAGUCAUCAGCUAAUGUUGAUUAUGUCCCUGCCCUCUGUACACACCGCCCGUCGCUACUACUGAUUGGGUGUUCAAGUGAGAUGCUUAGACCCUUGUUGCAUGGUUCAUUAUUGUGCUCCGAAAGGAAAAAGUUUCAAGCUUGAGUGUCUAGAGGAAGUAAAAGUCGUAACA
rnacentral:rRNA from 1 species